rnacentral:rRNA from 1 species
UACGGAGGGUGCAAGCGUUGUUCGGAAUUACUGGGCGUAAAGGGCGCGUAGGCGGUUUGAUAAGUCAGAUGUGAAAGCCCACGGCUUAACCGUGGAAGUGCAUUUGAAACUGUCAGACUUGAGUACCAGAGGGGAAAGUGGAAUUCCCGGUGUAGAGGUGAAAUUCGUAGAUAUCGGGAGGAAUACCGGUGGCGAAGGCGACUUUCUGGCUGGAUACUGACGCUGAGGCGCGAAAGCGUGGGGAGCAAACAGG